rnacentral:rRNA from 1 species
AACGAACGCUGGCGGCAGGCUUAACACAUGCAAGUCGAACGCCCCGCAAGGGGAGUGGCAGACGGGUGAGUAACGCGUGGGAAUCUACCCAUUUCUACGGAAUAACCCAGGGAAACUUGGACUAAUACCGUAUACGCCCUACGGGGGAAAGAUUUAUCGGAAUUGGAUGAGCGCGCGUUGGAUUAGCUAGUUGGUGGGGUAAUGGCCUACCAAGGCGACGAUCCAUAGCUGGUCUGAGAGGAUGAUCAGCCACACUGGGACUGAGACACGGCCCAGACUCCUACGGGAGGCAGCAGUGGGGAAUAUUGGACAAUGGGCGCAAGCCUGAUCCAGCCAUGCCGCGUGAGUGAUGAAGGCCUUAGGGUUGUAAAGCUCUUUCAGUGGGGACGAUAAUGACGGUACCCACAGAAGAAGCCCCGGCUAACUUCGUGCCAGCCGCCGCAGUAACAC